rnacentral:rRNA from 1 species
CGCCGUAAACGAUGUCGACUUGGAGGUUGUGCCCUUGAGGCGUGGCUUCCGGAGCUAACGCGUUAAGUCGACCGCCUGGGGAGUACGGCCGCAAGGUUAAAACUCAAAUGAAUUGACGGGGGCCCGCACAAGCGGUGGAGCAUGUGGUUUAAUUCGAUGCAACGCGAAGAACCUUACCUGGUCUUGACAUCCACGGAAGUUUUCAGAGAUGAGAAUGUGCCUUCGGGAACCGUGAGACAGGUGCUGCAUGGCUGUCGUCAGCUCGUGUUGUGAAAUGUUGGGUUAAGUCCCGCAACGAGCGCAACCCUUAUCCUUUGUUGCCAGCGGUCCGGCCGGGAACUCAAAGGAGACUGCCAGUGAUAAACUGGAGGAAGGUGGGGAUGACGUCAAGUCAUCAUGGCCCUUACGACCAGGGCUACACACGUGCUACAAUGGCGCAUACAAAGAGAAGCGACCUCGCGAGAGCAAGCGGACCUCAUAAAGUGCGUCGUAGUCCGGAUUGGAGUCUGCAACUCGACUCCAUGAAGUCGGAAUCGCUAGUAAUCGUGGAUCAGAAUGCC